GAUGAACGCUGGCGGCGUGCCUAAUACAUGCAAGUCGAGCGAAUGGAUUAAGAGCUUGCUCUUAUGAAGUUAGCGGCGGACGGGUGAGUAACACGUGGGUAACCUGCCCAUAAGACUGGGAUAACUCCGGGAAACCGGGGCUAAUACCGGAUAACAUUUUGAACCGCAUGGUUCGAAAUUGAGAGGCGGCUUCGGCUGUCACUUAUGGAUGGACCCGCGUCGCAUUAGCUAGUUGGUGAGGUAACGGCUCACCAAGGCAACGAUGCGUAGCCGACCUGAGAGGGUGAUCGGCCACACUGGGACUGAGACACGGCCCAGACUCCUACGGGAGGUAGCAGUAGGGAAUCUUCCGCAAUGGACGAAAGUCUGACGGAGCAACACCGCGUGAGUGAUGAAGGCUUUCGGGUCGUAAAACUCUGUUGUUAGGGAAGAACAAGUGCUAGUUGAAUAAGCUGGCACCUUGACGGUACCUAACCAGAAAGCCACGGCUAACUACGUGCCAGCCGCCGCAGUAA
rnacentral:rRNA from 1 species